GGGAGAUGGGGCUAGUGGGAGGUGUUUGGGCCAUGGGGAUGGAUCCUUCCUGAAUGUUUUGGUACUGUUCUUGCAAUAAUGAGUUCUCACUGUGAUGAACCUGGAUAAUUUCCCACAGAAUGAAUUAGUUCCUGUUAAAUAGCCAGGAUGCUUCCGUAUUUUGUUUCUUCAGGUGUGUCUUCUUGCCCUUUGACCUUCAUCAUGCAUGCUAUGAGGCAGCACAAAAGCUCUCAUCAGAAGCCAGGGAUAUGCUCUCGAACUUCUCAGUCUGCAGAACUGUGCUGACAAUCUCUCAGGCUCAAGAGGCUAACAGGCCAUCACUCCUACCCUGUGCUUUUCCAAGGACAUGGACACAGGGGUGACCCCAACCCCUCCCAUUCCUCCAGCAACAAUGGGGUAUGUUGAUUUUGGGUCUCCUAAGGUUAGAGGCUCUCAUCACUUUGUCUAGAUCCAUUUACCAGUGACAACACCAAACAAUGC
rnacentral:lncRNA from 1 species